AGUGAACGCUGGCGGUAGGCCUAACACAUGCAAGUCGAACGGCAGCACAGUAAGAGCUUGCUCUUACGGGUGGCGAGUGGCGGACGGGUGAGGAAUACAUCGGAAUCUACUUUUUCGUGGGGGAUAACGUAGGGAAACUUACGCUAAUACCGCAUACGACCUACGGGUGAAAGCAGGGGUUCUUCGGACCUUGCGCGAUUGAAUGAGCCGAUGUCGGAUUAGCUAGUUGGCGGGGUAAAGGCCCACCAAGGCGACGAUCCGUAGCUGGUCUGAGAGGAUGAUCAGCCACGCUGGAACUGAGACACGGUCCAGACUCCUACGGGAGGCAGCAGUGGGGAAUAUUGGGCAAUGGGCGCGAACCUGAUCCAGCCAUACCGCGUGGGUGGAGAAGGCCUUCGGGUUGUAAAGCCCUUUUGUUGGGAAAGAAAAGCAGCAGGUUAAUACCCCGCUGUUCUGACGGUACCCAAAGAAUAAGCACCGGCUAACUUCGUG
rnacentral:rRNA from 1 species